rnacentral:tRNA from 2 species
GGGCCCUUAGCUUAGUCCGGUAUAGCACUCCGCUCAUAACGGAGCGGUCGUUGGUUCAAAUCCGACAGGGCCCA